GGAAAUACUUUCUAUGAACUCACUUGGAUGAACAUGGAAAAAACGUGUUGCAAUAACAAUAUAAAGGCCUGUUUGGCUGCGCUGCUUCUUUUACUUGUGCUUCUCAUAGAAGAGCUUCAUCUAUCUUAAUCCGACUUCCUCUUAAAGCUCUUCUAGUCAAAUAAAGCACUUUCAGAUAAUUAUCUAAAUAUGUUUAAAAAUAGCUUCUCAAUCUCUGAAGCAACUUUUGACUUUCAAAAGCCAUGCCCAACAAGCUCUAAGAACAUGCCAGUUUAACUUCUUAACAGACGAAAACCUGAAAGCAUUUCAUACUGAAAAUGUUUAGCGUAAAGCCUCUUAUAAUCAUUCUCUCUCCUACUGCACAAUGUCAAUCUUCUCAAUAUAACAAAGUGCACAUCAAAAUUACUUACAUAUUGAAGAAGACGGGUACUCAGAAGAGGCUGAAUAUAGAUCCUCAUUAAUCACAUGGAAACAACAAUAACAGCAGUCAAAUUACAAUAAAAUUAGAUACCGUUUCCAUUGAAAACAAAAUUAAAAUGGUCAUCCAGGGAAACAGAUGCAUACAUAAAACUUGUAAUAGGCAACCUGUUACAGGUAAGAAAAAACUACUACUGGUAAAACUUAUCUUGCUAAGAAAAAGGGACAAGCUGUUCAAUGAAUCACUCCAUGUGUUAUACGCAGACCAGAAUAGUAGUGUUCAACUGUUCUAAUUUUUCAAACUGUUCAGAUAAUUUCUCACGCAGAUUUUUCAACCGAGUUUCCUCUACUCACAACAAUUUCAUUCUCAGUGCAACUAGAUCCAUAAAAUGAAUUGUAAAGUUUAUAAUAUGUUAAAUGCCUCAAAACCAAGUAUAAUAACAGAGAACGCUUAAAGAAACUAAUAUAAAAACUACUCUAGUUUUUAUAAUUUUUGUUAAGCUUCCACAUUUACAUAAGUGACGCUGUCUGGUACUCUGAUUAGAACAUGUAACAAGAGGAUGGGUAAGCCAAAAAUAACAUGGUAUGUGAUAGGGGUACAGGUAGAUGUAGAUGUAGAUCUAGCAAUAAACUGAACAAGUGGAGGAAAAUGAUUCAUGUAGUCUAUCUGAAAUUUAUUAGGAAAAGGCUGAGUUCGCUGCUGUUGCGGUUGUGAGCUUCUACAUUUUCAAUAGCUAAAGUGAAG
rnacentral:lncRNA from 1 species